UCUCCCUUCACUGACUCUCUUUUCAGGCUCAGCUGGCCUGCACCCAGGUGAAAUAAACAGCCUUGUUGCUCACACAAAGCCUGUUUGGUGGUCUCUUCACACGGAUGCGUGUGACAACUGGUGCCAAAGACCCAGGACAGGAGGACUCCUUUGGGAGACCAGGCGCCUGUCCUCGCCCUCACUCCAUGAGGAAACCCACCUACGACCUUGGGUCCACAGACCAACCAGCCCAAGGAACAUCUCACCAAUUUCAAAUCAGGUGUACAAUAAUAGAGAAGAGGCAGCCAAAUGACAACGCAUCUCUGAGUUACAGCUACUUGCCUCCACUGUAAGACAACCCACAACCAUGUCUCCAGCAUACAAAAACUUCAGAACAUCCAAGCCACAGCUUCCAGGGGCUCCUUCAAAACCUCCUCGUGGAUCAUGCUUCAAAUGCCAAAAUCCUGGCCACUGGGCCUCAGAAUGCCUGCAGCCCGGGAUUCCUCUUAAGCCGUGUCCUGUCUGUACGGGCCCCCACUGGAGGUCGGACUGUCUGACUCGCAUUGCCGCUGCUCCUGAAGCCCCUGGAGCCCAAACCCAGCGUUCCUUGGCUGACUCCUUCCCAGAUCUCCUUGGCUUAGCAGCUGAAGACUGACACUGCCUGAUUGCCUCAGAAGCCCCCUGGACUAUCAUGGAUGCCAAGCUUCAGAUUCUCAGCCAUAUGAAGACACCCUCGCUGGAUGAUCAGUUCUUGUUAAGAAUCUGACCCCUCAAACUCUACAACCUCAAUGGACCGGAACCUACUUAGUCAUCUAUAGUACCUCAACUGCUGUCCACCUGCAGGAUCCUCCUCACUGGGUACACCAUUCCAGAAUAAAGCUGUGUCCAUUGGACAGCCAGCCUAAUCCCUCCUCUUCCUCCUGGAAGUCGCAAGUACUCUCCCCUACUUCCCUUAAACUCACAUUUCUGAAGAACAAUAAUAACACUUAUGAGCCUAAUACAUCCCUUCAUUCUAUUAGGUCUGUUUGUCUUUACCUUACUUUUUGCAACAGAGCUUUAUGAAGUCGCCCCCACUACUUGGACUGAGCCCCAAAAACUAGUCAUCCCUACUAUCUUCUGUCUAGUCAUACUCCUAUUCACCAUUCUCAACUACUUAUAAAUGCCCUAUU